rnacentral:rRNA from 1 species
GACGAACGCUGGCGGCGUGCCUAAUACAUGCAAGUAGAACGCUGAAGAGAGGAGCUUGCUCUUCUUGGAUGAGUUGCGAACGGGUGAGUAACGCGUAGGUAACCUGCCUGGUAGCGGGGGAUAACUAUUGGAAACGAUAGCUAAUACCGCAUAAAAUGGAUUAUCGCAUGAUAAUCCAUUGAAAGGUGCAAAUGCAUCACUACCAGAUGGACCUGCGUUGUAUUAGCUAGUUGGUGGGGUAACGGCUCACCAAGGCGACGAUACAUAGCCGACCUGAGAGGGUGAUCGGCCACACUGGGACUGAGACACGGCCCAGACUCCUACGGGAGGCAGCAGUAGGGAAUCUUCGGCAAUGGACGGAAGUCUGACCGAGCAACGCCGCGUGAGUGAAGAAGGUUUUCGGAUCGUAAAGUUCUGUUGUAAGAGAAGAACGAGUGUGAGAGUGGAAAGUUCACACUGUGACGGUAUCUUACCAGAAAGGGACGGCUAACUACGUG